rnacentral:rRNA from 1 species
GACGAACGCUGGCGGCGUGCCUAAUACAUGCAAGUCGAACGCUUUUUCUUUCACCGGAGCUUGCUCCACCGAAAGAAAAAGAGUGGCGAACGGGUGAGUAACACGUGGGUAACCUGCCCAUCAGAAGGGGAUAACACUUGGAAACAGGUGCUAAUACCGUAUAACACUAUUUUCCGCAUGGAAGAAAGUUGAAAGGCGCUUUUGCGUCACUGAUGGAUGGACCCGCGGUGCAUUAGCUAGUUGGUGAGGUAACGGCUCACCAAGGCAACGAUGCAUAGCCGACCGGGGAGGGUGAUCGGCCACACUGGGACUGAGACACGGCCCAGACCCCUACGGGAGGCAGCAGUAGGGAAUCUUCGGCAAUGGACGAAAGUCUGACCGAGCAACGCCGCGUGAGUGAAGAAGGUUUUCGGAUCGUAAAACUCUGUUGUUAGAGAAGAACAAGGAUGAGAGUAGAACGUUCAUCCCUUGACGGUAUCUAACCAGAAAGCCACGGCUAACUACGUGCCAGCCGCCGCCGUAA